GAUCAUGGCUCAGGAUGAACGCUAGCUACAGGCUUAACACAUGCAAGUCGGAGGGGAAACGACAUCGAAAGCUUGCUUUUGAUGGGCGUCGACCGGCGCACGGGUGAGUAACGCGUAUCCAACCUGCCCACCACUUGGGGAUAACCUUGCGAAAGUAAGACUAAUACCCAAUGAUAUCUCUAGAAGACAUCUGUAAAGAGAUUAAAAGAUUUAUCGGUGAUGGAUGGGGAUGCGU
rnacentral:rRNA from 1 species